rnacentral:lncRNA from 1 species
GAGUUCCGCCCGGUUUGAGCCGAUGAUUAAUGAGGGCCGUUAAUUAGAGCGCUGUAUUCCCAGUGUCAUGGACGUGGCUGGGAGCCAAAACCGGAAGGCGUGGAUUCAUUGUCAGAGUGGAUGUGAGAAACUGGGGUGCCCUGAGGGGCGGAGGCAGAAGCCAGGCUGAAAGGAUGCCGUCACCUUCAUCGCCACCCUGACCGCUCGCCAUCGGCCUGCAGGCUCGCGCUUGGUGUUCCCUCCAGCUCUGCAUGGCCCCUGACUACAGCCAUUUUUCCAGCUUCUUUCCCAUGGUGGUGGGGGCAGUGAGUCGAGGGAGCUCAGAGCCCUCAAGAGGAGGAGUCAUAUGCCCUGCAGAGGUGGCACUGAGGGAGGAGAAGACAGAGGCGUGAGCAGGUGACGCCUGCAUCCAGGACCAUCUUGUAGUGGAGGUGUCCAUCCAGCAUGGGGGUGAAGGACGCUGGGAGGAGAGGGAUGGAGGAAAGAAUGGCUUCUAGGGGAGGGAGGCAGACCCCAAGCAGCCAAAAGAAGAGACGCACAGCCUGGGUUGCAGAGAGCCUGGACGAACCCACCGGGCAGGGCUGGAAGGACAGGCACAGGUGAGGAGGGGCGGAGGGCACAGAGUGAGCCAGGCAGAGCCUGUUGGAGGCCGGAGAGGGCCACAUCCUGGCAAGUGGGGCCUCAGCUCAUGGACAGCCUGGCAUGGGUGGUGGGACUGGCGUGGGACUUGCAGGGGUGAGUCUGGAUGCUGGAGCUCCCGGGAGACCCGGCCAGGCGGGUCACGAGGCCAAGGAAUCCAGUACUCCCACAGCCCAGGGACAGUGUCCUGCGCUCCUCAUUUCCCCUUUAGUCCUCACCUGAUUCCUGCUAGAGCAGUGCUCGCCCCCAUGGGGAAACUGAGGCUCAGAGCAAGAGUGGACUUGCAUCAGGUCCUGUAUGCAGCUAAGCCAUCAACCAGGGAACUGUCCUCUGCCUGAGGGUCCAGGAAGAAGCACGGUGCCUCAGCAGCAGCAGAGCCGGACCCCAGGGUUCCAACGAGAAACCUCAUCUGGGAGCUCAGAACGCAGCAUGGAGCUGUGAAGCUGAAACACUGGGGAGCCGCAUGCAGUGAGGCCGCAAUUCAGCAGCAGUGCAUUGGGUCCACCCAGGGGGUAAGCAGGGGUGUGGGGGGGCACCCAUCUGGGAUGUGCAGGGCCUGCUGGGACCCAUUCUCUUCUCAGGCUGCCUCCACCGUGGUGGCUGCAGGUGGGAUCCAUACGUCCUGUGCUGCCCUGGCCUGUUCUUACUGGUAAAGGAGUGGUUUGGAGGAAAAACAAAAACCUUAAUUCAACAGAGGGCUUGCUAUGGGUGGAUUUUUGCUCCCAAAUGGGAAGUAUUUUAAGUCAAUGAGCACUUCCUGUCCUGCUAACAUGUCAGCGAGGAAACACUGCCUCCUCUGCACCACCCUGGCUUUCUUAGAAAAAAGACCAUUUGGAGGAAGGAAUUCAAGAAGUUCAUUGAAACCAUCACUGAUACAUCUCCAGCACUGAUACAUCUCCAGGGCUGCCGUGUGGUGGGUGAGGAAGGACAGUGUAAGAUAGGCUGGACACAGUGAAAAUGGCAGCUCAAGAACAACGGAUCACAUCAUUUUCUUCCUAGAAGAAUCUGGGUUUGGGUUGCAGCUCCACUCAGCAGGAGGCCCGGGAGGAGCUGGGAGCAUCCAGUCGCGAGGGGAAGGGGCGGUGUGCACUCAGGAGUCUCCUCACAGGAGCAUCAGACACUCUCAUGCCUUAAGAUGAUUGCGGCCGCUUCCUAACGGUGCUGUGAGAGCACCUCCGCCAUGCCUGAAGUUUGAGCAACACUGAACCCUAGAAGCUACUGAGUCCUCAAAGGGCAGGGCCUGGUGGCAGCGGGCCAGCCAUGUAGUGACACCAUCCGGAGGUUGCCGGGAGGUGUGCAGAGUGCCCCACUCCAUGCUGGGUGGCUGGGCAGUGGGUCCCACCCUUCACUGCGCAGGGCAGUCAGCCAUGACUGCUGAUUCCACCAGGCCUGGAGGGGCGGUCUUUGAGCAUGGAACCCUUGUUAUCCAAUGGCACCAGCGACUCAUCGUGACAUCAGGGACCCCAACCGAGAAAGGCUUUAGAGGCUGCCCUUGCAAUGGCUCCCCCGCAUCUCCUCCUCUGUGCUCCCUUUUCCUGCUCAUAUGCCAGGAAUUGACUGAGGGACUCCGUGGCGCUUCGGGGCCAGCUCACAACACCCAUGGGGCAGCUGCAGACUGGGGAGACCUCCCUCACGGGAUCUGAUCUUCUCGCAGUUCCUGGGACUCAUGGGUGUGGGGAAGGAGGGGACAGGGGCUGCCCUCCAGUUCUGACCUGAGAACCUGGUGAGGUGGGGUGUCCCUUACUGGGAUGGCAAGACUGGAGAGAUGUGGAGAAAUUUGAUCCAGAUGCCUUAGGUGUGAGGGGUCUCAGGAAUUCAAGGCGGGCUGUGCAGACGUCCAUUAGACUCGGGGAGCUGGAGCUGUGCCCACCGAGGUUCCCUCCAGGGAAGGUCAUGCCCGGUGCCCAUGGCAGCUGCUGCCCAGGCCUGGCCACCUGCGGGGUCUUUG